rnacentral:rRNA from 1 species
GAUGAACGCUGGCGGCGUGCCUAAUACAUGCAAGUCGAGCGAACAGAUAAGGAGCUUGCUCCUUUGACGUUAGCGGCGGACGGGUGAGUAACACGUGGGUAACCUACCUAUAAGACUGGGAUAACUUCGGGAAACCGGAGCUAAUACCGGAUAAUAUUUCGAACCGCAUGGUUCGAUAGUGAAAGAUGGUUUUGCUAUCACUUAUAGAUGGACCCGCGCCGUAUUAGCUAGUUGGUAAGGUAACGGCUUACCAAGGCGACGAUACGUAGCCGACCUGAGAGGGUGAUAGGCCACACUGGAACUGAGACACGGUCCAGACUCCUACGGGAGGCAGCAGUAGGGAAUCUUCCGCAAUGGGCGAAAGCCUGACGGAGCAACGCCGCGUGAGUGAUGAAGGUCUUCGGAUCGUAAAACUCUGUUAUUAGGGAAGAACAUACGUGUAAGUAACUGUGCACGUCUUGACGGUACCUAAUCAGAAAGCCACGGCUAACUACGUG